ACGAAGGUGUCUAAUACUUCAUAAUAUCCAUCUCGUAUGGAUUAAAGCUUUAUGCGCUUUGGGAGGGGCCUGCGUAACAUUAGCUUGUUGGUGAGGUAAAAGCUCACCAAGGCUUCGAUGUUUAACUGGUUUGAGAGGAUGACCAGUCACACUGGGACUGAGAUACGGCCCAGACUCCUACGGGAGGCAGCAGUAAGGAAUCUUCCACAAUGGGGCAACCCUGAUGGAGCAAUACCGCGUGCAGGAUGAAGCGUUUCGGCGUGUAAACUGCUUUUAUCACCGAAGAUUAUGACUGUAGGUGAAGAAUAAGGACCGGCUAACUACGUG
rnacentral:rRNA from 1 species